GACGAACGCUGGCGGCGUGCUUAACACAUGCAAGUCGAACGGAAAGGCCCUGCUUUUGUGGGGUGCUCGAGUGGCGAACGGGUGAGUAACACGUGAGUAACCUGCCCUUGACUUUGGGAUAACUUCAGGAAACUGGGGCUAAUACCGGAUAGGAGCUCCUGCUGCAUGGUGGGGGUUGGAAAGUCUCGGCGGGUGGGGAUGGACUCGCGGCUUAUCAGCUUGUUGGUGGGGUAGUGGCUUACCAAGGCUUGGACGGGUAGCCGGCCUGAGAGGGUGAACGGCCACAUUGGGACUGCGAUACGGCCCAGACUGCUACGGGAGGCAGCAGUGGGGAAUAUUGCACAAUGGGCGGAAGCCUGAUGCAGCAACGCCGCGUGCGGGAUGACGGCCUUCGGGUUGUAAACCGCUUUCGCCUGUGACGAAGCGUGAGUGACGGUAAUGGGUAAAGAAGCACCGGCUAACUACGUG
rnacentral:rRNA from 1 species